AGUCAGGAGGGAAAGCCAACCUUGCGGGGAGGUCGUAUGGGAGGAAAGGGUUAGCCGACCAUUGACAGAGAGUCCGUGGAACCACGCCUCCGAGUUCUGGGGUGGGCACACGUGAGGGAAGGGGGAAAUCCCCCUUGGGGAGUCCAAUGCCAGUGUGGUUGAGGUGAGAGGUCCCUUGUGUGUUUGUGUCAGGUGUUGUCGGGAGUCCGGUUGCCACGACCCUGGAAGCUGGCAGCGUGGGCAGGACCGCAGGGGGCCCCGGCUUCACCAGUCCUGGGCGCGGAGCAGGGGGACCCGGCAGCCCGACCACAAUUGCCAGAGGAGGGACCCCAGAAGGUCCUGAGGGCUUGACAGCAGCACCCGGCAGUGAGAGCACACGUGGAGACCUCGGCGCCCCAGGCACGACCUUGGGAGGCAGAGCAGGAACCACUCUAGGUCUUCGGAGUGAACCUUCUGGGACAGGUGUUGGCGGGAGUCCGUUUGCCACGACCCUGGAAGCUGGCAGCGUGGGCAGGACCUCAGGAGGCCCCGGCUUCACCAGUCCUGGGCGCGGAGCAGGUGAGUGGAGUUCAGAAGCCAGGGUCGCCUCCACCCACGCCAAAGCGACCGGCAUGGGGCCACGCUGCUGAUCACGAUCACGGUUGACAAGCCAAGGACACGUGAGCCCUUGGCUGGAGACUUGUGGGCCCUGAGAGACUCUGGCAGCAGGUGUGUACCUCUGCAUCAUGGUCCAGAGAGGCAACGUGGGACGGGACCGCUCCUGGGGAUUGAUGCCCUAAGGCGGGGCCGGCCGUGGUCUUGCUGGGUUGGG
rnacentral:lncRNA from 1 species